UCAAGAGUCAGGUAACAUUAUUUAGUUUAAGGCUUUAUAUUUAAGCAAAAUUAUUACAUUUUAUUUACCAUAACAAUUAGAACCGACCACGGAGGAGAGAAUAUAGAAGUGGGGCGAUUCAUGAUCGAAGUUAGAGGGCCAAAUAGAGGGAGUUUUUUGACGGGGAAAUCUACCAGAAACACUCGUAUCGAAAGGAUGCGGGUUGAUGUGAAAAAGUAUGCCACUCAUCCUGUUAAGUUACUCUUUCAGUAAUAUGACGUCAUAAUUUACAUUUCUACAGCUAUAUAAUAUUUGAUCACUGAUCCAGGGAACUUCAGAGCUCUGGUUUGUUGGACGUAGGCGAUGAAACAGACAUUUAUUGUCUCCAAGUCGUCUUUAUUCCUCUGCUGCUGGUCAUUUUAAAUGAGAUGAUGGUGGCUUGGAAUUGCCAUUCAAUGCGAACAGCAAAAGGGACUUCCCCCAAUAAGCAAUUUCUCCAAAGUCUCUUUAAAUUACAGCAGCAAGGAAGAGAAUUUACGGAACUCAAACAGGACAUUGAAAUGCCCAUUGGUUUUGUCGUGGAAGACGUUCUAAGGGAAAACCAAGCUCAUGUUCCAGAGAUUGACAUUCCAGAAUUGAGUGAUGCAGAGAGGGAAAGGAUUUAUAGGCGUUACAGUGUGCCUAGUGACAGCACAUCAAAUCGUCUUGAAAUAGCAAGGACAAAUUACUUGCGUGCUCGCCGAUUCAUUCGUUUUUGUUUGGCUGCUGAGGGAAAUUGAAGGGUUCAAAAUAGCUGUACAACUCUUGUUCCGAAAUAACAGAUUGUCUAUCCAGGCAAUAAACCCUCAAAUAAUAGGA